AGUUGGUCCGAAGGCUGUGGGUUAUUGUUAACUCAGUUAACAUUGUCUCCCCCCACAACCACGUUUGACUGACUGUGUUUU
ensembl:Y_RNA Y_RNA Y RNA